rnacentral:rRNA from 1 species
GUCCAUGGACAUACCACCCCGAACAUUCCCGAUCUUGUCUGAUCCUGGAAGCUAAGCAGGUUGGGCUUGGUUAGUACUUGGAGAGAGCCCAGGUCUCUUUAGCACUUGGAUGGGAGCCCAGGACCUGUAUACA